AUUGAACGCUGGCGGCAGGCUUAACACAUGCAAGUCGAGCGGGGAAGGGUAGCUUGCUACCUGACCUAGCGGCGGACGGGUGAGUAAUGCUUAGGAGUCUGCCUAUUAGUGGGGGACAACAUUCCGAAAGGAAUGCUAAUACCGCAUACGCCCUACGGGGGAAAGCAGGGGAUCUUCGGACCUUGCGCUAAUAGAUGAGCCUAAGUCAGAUUAGCUAGUUGGUGGGGUAAAGGCCUACCAAGGCGACGAUCUGUAGCGGGUCUGAGAGGAUGAUCCGCCACACUGGGACUGAGAAACGGCCCAGACUCCUACGGGAGGCAGCAGUGGGGAAUAUUGGACAAUGGGCGAAAGCCUGAUCCAGCCAUGCCGCGUGUGUGAAGAAGGCCUUUUGGUUGUAAAGCACUUUAAGCGAGGAGGAGGCUACCGAGAUUAAUACUCUUGGAUAGUGGACGUUACUCGCAGAAUAAGCACCGGCUAACUCUGUGCCAGCCGCCGCCGUAA
rnacentral:rRNA from 1 species